CCUACGGGUGACAGCAGUGAGGAAUAUUGGUCAAUGGACGAGAGUCUGAACCAGCCAAGUAGCGUGAAGGAUGACUGCCCUAUGGGUUGUAAACUUCUUUUAUAUGGGAAUAAAACGUUCCACGUGUGGGAUUUUGUAUGUACCAUAUGAAUAAGGAUCGGCUAACUCCGUGCCAGCAGCCGCGGUAAUACGGAGGAUCCGAGCGUUAUCCGGAUUUAUUGGGUUUAAAGGGAGCGUAGGUGGAUUGUUAAGUCAGUUGUGAAAGUUUGCGGCUCAACCGUAAAAUUGCAGUUGAAACUGGCAGUCUUGAGUACAGUAGAGGUGGGCGGAAUGCGUGGUGUAGCGGUGAAAUGCUUAGAUAGCACGAAGAACUCCGAUUGCGAAGGCAGUUCACUGGACUGCAACUGACACUGAGGCUCGAAAGUGUGGGUAUCAAACAGGAUUAGAUACCCCAGUAGUC
rnacentral:rRNA from 1 species